AUACGGAGGGGGCUAGCGUUGUUCGGAAUUACUGGGCGUAAAGCGCACGUAGGCGGAUUAAAAAGUUAGAGGUGAAAUCCCAGGGCUUAACCCUGGAACUGCCUUUAAAACUAGUAGUCUUGAGUUCGAGAGAGGUGAGUGGAAUUCCAAGUGUAGAGGUGAAAUUCGUAGAUAUUUGGAGGAACACCAGUGGCGAAGGCGGCUCACUGGCUCGAUACUGACGCUGAGGUGCGAAAGCGUGGGGAGCAAACAGGAUUAGAAACCCUAGUAGUCC
rnacentral:rRNA from 1 species